UUUGUCCUCCCUUUUUGGCAUGUUUGGUACAUUGAAAACAGAUAUGUUUUCUUUUCCAAGUUCAAAGUGAUCAUUUCGAGAAGUUUUUCGCCCUUGAAUUAGACAAACAUGGUUAUGAAGCUUUAUACAAGAAAAAAACGAUCGAGGUUUAUGGUGGGAAUAUCAAUACAAUAGAUGGUUGUGCUACAUUUUUUCACAAAGACAGGUUUUCUAAU